CUGAAACCGUGUACGUACAAGCAGUGGGAGCACGCUUAGGCGUGUGACUGCGUACCUUUUGUAUAAUGGGUCAGCGACUUAUAUUCUGUAGCAAGGUUAACCGAAUAGGGGAGCCGAAGGGAAACCGAGUCUUAACUGGGCGUUAAGUUGCAGGGUAUAGACCCGAAACCCGGUGAUCUAGCCAUGGGCAGGUUGAAGGUUGGGUAACACUAACUGGAGGACCGAACCGACUAAUGUUGAAAAAUUAGCGGAUGACUUGUGGCUGGGGGUGAAAGGCCAAUCAAACCGGGAGAUAGCUGGUUCUCCCCGAAAGCUAUUUAGGUAGCGCCUCGUGAAUUCAUCUCCGGGGGUAGAGCACUGUUUCGGCAAGGGGGUCAUCCCGACUUACCAACCCGAUGCAAACUGCGAAUACCGGAGAAUGUUAUCACGGGAGACACACGGCGGGUGCUAACGUCCGUCGUGAAGAGGGAAACAACCCAGACCGCCAGCUAAGGUCCCAAAGUCAUGGUUAAGUGGGAAACGAUGUGGGAAGGCCCAGACAGCCAGGAUGUUGGCUUAGAAGCAGCCAUCAUUUAAAGAAAGCGUAAUAGCUCACUGGUCGAGUCGGCCUGCGCGGAAGAUGUAACGGGGCUAAACCAUGCACCGAAGCUGCGGCAGCGACACUGUGUGUUGUUGGGUAGGGGAGCGUUCUGU
rnacentral:rRNA from 1 species